rfam:Canis lupus familiaris chromosome X, whole genome shotgun sequence.
CGGGGGAGGCCGGAUCCUGGGCUGUGUCCCGGCGCCCUGUGCUCCGGGGCCUGCGCUGUUGGAUUCGCUCUCCCGGGCCGCGCAACCCCCU